AGCAGCCGCGGUAAUUCCAGCUCCAAUAGCGUAUAUUAAAGUUGUUGCAGUUAAAAAGCUCGUAGUUGAAUUUCGGGACCAUCAUGUUGGUCGUGCCUCGGUACGUACUGGCAUUGUUGGUUUCUCCCUUCUGACGAACCAUGAUGUCAUUUAUUUGGUGUCGUGGGAAAUCAGGACUGUUACUUUGAAAAAUUAGAGUGUUUAAAGCAGGCUCACGCUUGAAUACAUUAGCAUGGAAUAAUGAAAUAGGACGUUUGAUUCUAUUUUGUUGGUUUCUAGGAUCGACGUAAUGAUUAAUAGGGAUAGUUGGGGGCAUUAGUAUUCAAUUGUCAGAGGUGAAAUUCUUGGAUUUAUUGAAGACUAACUACUGCGAAAGCAUUUGCCAAGGACGUUUUCAUUAAUACAAGAACGAAAGUUAGGGGAUCGAAGACGAUCAGAUACCGUCGUAGUCUUAACCAUAAACUAUAGCCGACUAGGGAUCGGAUGAUGUUAAUUUU
rnacentral:rRNA from 1 species